rnacentral:misc_RNA from 1 species
GAAAUGCGAUAACUAGUGUGAAUUGCAGAAUUCCGUGAAUCAUCGAGUCUUUGAACGCACAUUGCGCCCCCUGGUAUUCCGAGGGGCAUGCCUGUCCGAGCGUCAUUGCUGCCCAUCAAGCACGGCUUGUGUGUUGGGUCGUCGUCCCCUCUCCGGGGGGGACGGGCCCCAAAGGCAGCGGCGGCACCGCGUCCGAUCCUCGAGCGUAUGGGGCUUUGUCACCCGCUCUGUAGGCCCGGCCGGCGCUUGCCGAACGCAAAUCAAUCUUUUUCCAGGUUGACCUCGGAUCAGGUAGGGAUACCCGCUGAACUUAAGC